AACCUACGGGGGGCAGCAGUGGGGAAUAUUGGACAAUGGGGGAAACCCUGAUCCAGCGACGCCGCGUGAGUGAAGAAGUAUUUCGGUACGUAAAGCUCUAUCAGCAGGAAAGAAAAUGACGGUACCUGACUAAGAAGCCCCGGCUAACUACGUGCCAGCAGCCGCGGUAAUACGUAGGGGGCAAGCGUUAUCCGGAUUUACUGGGUGUAAGGGGAGCGUAGACGGCAGCGCAAGUCUGGAGUGAA
rnacentral:rRNA from 1 species